rnacentral:rRNA from 1 species
CCAGAGAUGGAGUUGGUGCCUUCGGGAACUCUGACACAGGUGCUGCAUGGCUGUCGUCAGCUCGUGUCGUGAGAUGUUGGGUUAAGUCCCGUAACGAGCGCAACCCUUGUCCUUAGUUACCAGCACGUUAUGGUGGGCGACUCUAAGGAGACUGCCGGUGACAAACCGGAGGAAGGUGGGGAGUGACGUCAAGUCAUCAUGGCCCUUACGGCCUGGGCUACACACGUGCUACAAUGGUCGGUACAAAGGGUUGCCAAGCCGCGAGGUGGAGCUAAUCCCAUAAAACCGAUCGUAGUCCGGAUCGCAGUCUGCAACUCGACUGCGUGAAGUCGGAAUCGCUAGUAAUCGCGCAUCAGCCAUGGCGCGGUGAAUACGUUCCCGGGCCUU